UCCGGCUUAUCACCGGCAGUCCCUCUAGAGUGCCCAACUUAAUGAUGGCAACUAAAGGCGAGGGUUGCGCUCGUUGCGGGACUUAACCCAACAUCUCACGACACGAGCUGACGACAACCAUACAGCACCUCUGCUGGCAACCGACUUUACGGUUACGCUUCUGUUUCCAGAAGCCUACUACCAGUAGUUCAAGCCCAGGUAAGGUUCUUCGCGUUGCGUCGAAUUAAACCACAUGCUCCACCGCUUGUGCGGGCCCCCGUCAAUUCCUUUGAGUUUCAGCCUUGCGGCCGUACUCCCCAGGCGGGGUGCUUAAUGCGUUAGCUACGGCACCGCAGGGGUCAAAGCCCGCGACACCUAGCACCCAUCGUUUACGGCGUGGACUAC
rnacentral:misc_RNA from 1 species